CUCCCAUUAGGACAUAAGGGGCUUUAAAUUUAGCAGCUGCAAACCCAGGACUCAUAUACUUAAGGAACCCGAUGGGAGCGCAGGGAAUGUAGCCUUUGUGAAGAAACUAGCCAAUUCUCAAAUCCAGGUCUGUUCUUAUAGGGAUGUCGCUGUCCUCCCUGGUCAGCCUGGUGUGUUUCUAGUCCCGCCUCUCUUGGGCGGAAUGAGUCCCGCCCUGCAACCGCCCCAGGGCGGGGCUCCCGCCGGCUCCCGGCUGCCCUUUCCACCGCGGCCUCUGCCGAGGUUGGUGUGUCCUGCGGAGCUCCGAGCACGUGCGGUGCCCAGCUGCCAGUUUGAGGCGAUGUCUGCCCUGGAUGACUUGAAAGUAGGGUGGUCUUCACCAGGCUAAAAGAAGUAAUGAUCCACAACAGGGUGCACUGUGGUUCUAGAUCUGAAUGAGAUCGCGUUCAUCAGGACUUCAGGUUUCUGACAACACUGUGUUUUGAGUAAUGUAUAUAUGGUCUCUGUAAUGUAGAGGUACUUCAGUUCAGAUGGGGAAAGUUGAGUUUGCUUUAGAGGAUUGCAGAACUGUGAUGUAAUUCCAGAGAAUGCUUGUCAAGUCCUCAUUUGCUUUGGCAGAUGAGGCAGUGAGGGAGCUCACCCAUGGCCACUGAGCUGCAUCUCUAGCUAUAAUUUUUAGAGGGACUAGAUGGUGUCUGUGGACUACAUGUGGCCAGCUACUUGCUAAUUAAGGGAUUUUAGACAUCUAUUUGGAUGGUAGCCAUCUUAGGACAGCUUAGAAUGUUCCGGAAAGUUUAGGAUAUUGCUUUUUAAAAGCAAAGUUUUAUAUAAAGGUUCCUAUAAUGGCCCAGAUAGUAAAUAUUAAUACUGUCUUUGGUUUUGCAACUAUGUUGCUUUUGUGUGAAAAAUAAUGAAUGUAUCAUCAAAUAAAUGAACUUGGUUAUAUUCCA
rnacentral:lncRNA from 1 species